rnacentral:rRNA from 1 species
CCAACCUACCUAUCGAGGAGGGGGAAUAACCCGGCGAAAGUCGGACUAAUACCGCAUAAAACAGGGGCACCGCAUGGUGAUAUUUGUUAAAAAUUUAUUGCUGAUAGAUGGGCAUGCGUUCCAUUAGGUAGUUGGAGAAGUAACGGCUCACCAAGCCCACGAUGGAUAGGGGAACUGAGAGGUUGGUCCCCCACACUGGUACUGAGACACGGACCAGACUCCUACGGGAGGCAGCAGUGAGGAAUAUUGGUCAAUGGGCGAGAGCCUGAACCAGCCAAGUCGCGUGAAGGAAGAAGGAUCUAUGGUUCGUAAACUUCUUUUGCAGGGGAAUAAAGUGCAGGACGUGUCCUGUUUUGUAUGUACCCUGAGAAUAAGGAUCGGCUAACUCCGUG